rnacentral:rRNA from 1 species
ACUUGCCUACAACAUAGCAUUAAUGCAUCGGAUCCCAUUAUAACUCUGCAGUUAAGUGUGCUCAGGCUAUAGUAGUACUGGGAUGGGUGACCACCUGGGAAGUCCUAGUAUUUUACAUGCA